rnacentral:rRNA from 1 species
AAUAGAUACCCAGGUAGUCCACGCCGUAAACGAUGAGUGCUAAGUGUUAGAGGGUUUCCGCCCUUUAGUGCUGCAGCUAACGCAUUAAGCACUCCGCCUGGGGAGUACGGCCGCAAGGCUGAAACUCAAAGGAAUUGACGGGGGCCCGCACAAGCGGUGGAGCAUGUGGUUUAAUUCGAAGCAACGCGAAGAACCUUACCAGGUCUUGACAUCCUCUGCCAACCCUAGAGAUAGGGCGUUCCCCUUCGGGGGACAGAGUGACAGGUGGUGCAUGGUUGUCGUCAGCUCGUGUCGUGAGAUGUUGGGUUAAGUCCCGCAACGAGCGCAACCCUUGAUCUUAGUUGCCAGCAUUCAGUUGGGCACUCUAAGGUGACUGCCGGUGACAAACCGGAGGAAGGUGGGGAUGACGUCAAAUCAUCAUGCCCCUUAUGACCUGGGCUACACACGUGCUACAAUGGAUGGUACAAAGAGCUGCGAACCCGCGAGGGUAAGCGAAUCUCAUAAAGCCAUUCUCAGUUCGGAUUGUAGG